AGCCCAUGAUGAGGGCACAUCCUUAACAUUUCCUUAAAUUCAUCUCAUUCUUCAUGGAGAUAUUCUCCGUCCUUUUGGGUAAAUUUUGUAAUUUGGUUCCUUAAUU